rnacentral:lncRNA from 1 species
GACAGCAUGCAGUUGCCACAAGCAGUGGUUAUGAUGAUGUUGAAGAGAUACCUGUUCCUGAAAAUCCUUCUUCAUUUGUAAUGAGGGAGAAGAAUUUUUUCUCAGAAGAGGGAGGUGGUUCCAGGUGUUCUCAUACAGGUAAGUGGAUAACUGUCUCCAGUGGUCUUUCAUUAUUAUCAUGGUAAAGACGGAUUGGACAUAUCAAUGAUCAGUUUUCCUUUACUACAAGAUUCUAAGUUGCCUUGUAAACCAAGAUGAUGUCAUCUAUUCCCUUUUUCUGUUUAUUGAAGCUAUUUUAUUUCUUCUGAAAGGAGGUAAAUACUGUGUCCUCUGUCUGCACAUACUGUUCUUGGGAUAGAGACAUGUCUGUAUGAUCUACAGAGACUUUGUGGCUUUGUUACACUCUUCACAAAGCAAACCAAGACCUCUGUUUGAACAUCAAGUAUUCUUGUCUUUAAACAUGUGAGAAGUAAUUUGGAGAGCAUUUUAGUGUUUUUAUUAGUGCAAUAUAAUUAUUCAUAAUAGUGGAAUUAAUUUUGAUUAUUCAUAAAUACAUAUAGCAUAAUUUGCUCCAUUUAAAUGUCUAAUGCUUCCUCUUUCCCUUUUCCUUCCCCCUGAUUACCGUCUCUUAAUCAACAGGUCUGCCUUCUAUGUAUUUAUUGUUUUUGUAGUAAGAACAUUACAUUCAUACAUAAAAGUAAAAUUCAUCAUGAUAUAUUCAAGCACACAGAGAGCAUAAUAUGGAGAAUUUCAUUUCAGAGAUCCUCUCCAUUUCUCCCUGUCAUGUCUCCCCUCGACCCACUUCUAAUCCAUUGUUAUCUAUUUUCAUAAUAUCUCCUCUUUUUAUUUCUUACUUCUAUGUAGCUUCUGCAUAUAAGAGAUAAGUUUCAACUCUUAUCAUCCUGAAUCUGGUUAUUUCACUUAGCAUGAUUUUCUCCAGUUCCACCUAUUUACCAGCAAAUGAUAUAAUUUAAUUUUUCUUUAUGACUGAAUAUAAGUCUGUUAUGUGUGUUUGUGGGUAUUGUGUGUGUAUAUGUGUGUAAUUUUUUAUUCAUUCAUUCAUUAAGAGACACCUAAGCUGACUCCAUUACUAGGUCACUAUAAACUCAGCUAUUAUAAACACUGAUAUACCUGUAUCACAGUCUUAUGCUGAUUUCAACUCUUUUGAUACAUAUCAACAAGUGGAAUAGCAGGGUCAUAUGGUAGCUGCAUUCCUACUCUUCUAAACAAUCUUCAUACUGCUUUCCAAAGUUGUCAUACUAAUUUGCUAUCUCACCAUGUGUGUGUAUUUCUUUAUCCCCACCUCCUCUUCAACAUUUAUUUACUGAAUUCUUAAAUUUUUAUCAGUGCAUUAUAUUUCUCCAUAAUAGAAGUGUUCAUCUUGAACUAUUUAUACACCCACAAAAUAAAGUUUUCUCCAUUUUAAUUCCCGUGUUCCACUUUUUUCUUCUCCCUUCUUCUGCUCCCCGUCCUCUACUUCCUUUCUGUUAAUUUAUAGUUUUUUAAUAAAUUAGUUUUAUAUAUCUACAAUUAUAUAUACAUACACACGCACAUAUACUUUAACAUGGUAUAUUUAUCUUUAACAUAAUUUGGUCGAUUUCAUUCUACAGUUCCUCCUUUUUCUCAUUCUUUCUCCCUUCGCAUCAACCCCAUUACUCUCUUCCACUGAUCUCUCUUUUUCUUUCAUAAGUCAUUGUUAAUCCAGAAUUCUACCCCUUUCUUCCCCUUCAUGCCUUAUUUUGCCCCAACUUCUGCAUAUAAGAGAGGAAAUUCAAUUUUUGACUUUCUGAGUUUGGUAUAAUUUACCUAGUAUGAUGUUCUCCAGUUCCAGCCAUUUAUAUGGGAAUACCAUAAUUUAAUUCUCUUUUAUGGCUGAGUAAAAUUUUCCCACAUUCUCUAUAUGCAUUCAUCAGCUGAUAGGCACCCAGGCUGUUUUCAUAACUUAGCUAUUGUAAAUUGUGCUUCCCUCAACACUGAUAUGCUAAUAUCACUCCAAUAUGCUUAGCUUAGUUCUUUGGAUAAAACCAAGGAGUCACAUAGUCAUGAAGUUGUUUUAUUCCUACUCUUUUGAGAACUUUUUAUACUGUUUUCCAAAGUGGCUGUACUAAUUUGCAGUGCCACCCAAAAUGAAUGAGUACUUUUCCCCACAUCCACUCCAGCAUUAUAUAUAUAUAUAUCCUUGAUGAUUUCCAUUCUAACAGGGACCAGAUGACAUAAAAAUUUAGUUUUGAUCUGCAUUCCCUUGAUUGGUAUAGAUGUUAAGCAGCUUUUCAUAUAUUUCUUGGUCAUUUGUAUUACUUCUUUUGAAAAAUACCUGUUUAGCUUGACUUGUCCAUUGAUAAAUUAGAUUAAGUGCUUCUUAGGUAUUAACUUUUUGAGAUGUUUUCCAAGCACCAUUUUUUUUUAAAAAAAGGUUCUUUUCUGCAACGUAAGUUUUUUGUUCCUUUGUCAAGUAUCAGAUGAAAUAUCGAUUUGAGCUUAUUCUGUGUUUUUUAUUCCAUUGCAUUUGUCUUCAUGUCUGUUUUGAUGCCAGUACCACGCUGUUUUUGAUAGUACAGCUCUCUCCUUAGCUAAAAUAACCAAAAGAGAGAGAAGACCCAAAUCAACAAAAUUAGAGAUGUAAAAAAUUUUCAGAAGUCCAGAGGCUCAUUAGGAACUAUUUUGAAAAUUUGUACUAAACUAUAAAAUCUAUGAGAUAUUAACCAAUUUCUAGGUAGAAAUCAAACCAGCAGAAUAUAGAAAACCUAAACGGACCAUAUCAAGCAAUGAUACUGAAGCAGCAAUAGGAAGUCCUCCAACAAAGAGAAGUCCUAUCAAACUAUUAAGAAAGAAAUUUUACCCAUCUUUCUCAAAUUAUUCCAUGAAAUAGAAAAGGAGAAAACACUUCCAAAUUUAUUCUAUACAGCCAGUAUUACUCUUAUACCAAAAGAAUACAAAGACACAUCAAAGAAGAAAAACUACAGACCAAUGUCCCUGAAUGAAGCAGACACAAAAAUUUUCAGUAAAAUAUUAUUAAAGCAUAUUCAAAGACACUUGAACAAGAUAGUAUGGAAUGAAAAGUGGGUUUCAUGUGAGUGGGAUGCAAGGGUAGUUCAACAUAUGCAAAUCAAUAAGUUUAAUUCACCAAAAAAAAAUACAUCUAAGGAUAAGAAUCACAUGAUCAGUUAAAUAGAUAAAGAAAAAAGCAGUUGAUAAAUUUUAGCUCCCAUUAAUGUUAAAACUUCUGAAGAAAUUAGGGAUAGAAAGAAGCUACCUCAGCAUUUAAAGGUUAUGUAUAGCAAAUGCAAAGCCAACUUCCCAUUGAAUGAAGAAAAACUAAAAAUAUUUUCUCUGAAAUCAUGAACAGGAAAGGAUGUUCACUCUCACCACUCCUAGUCAAUAUAGUUGUUGAAACUAAAAUCAGAGCAAUCAGACAAGAGAAGAAAUUAAAGAAAUACAAAUAUGAAGAGGUCAGAUUAUCUGUUUCCUGAAGAAAGGAUCCUGUAUGUAGUAUAUUCAAACACAUCCAUCAGAAGAAUUCUAAAACUUAUAUACAAAUUCAGGAAAGUAGAAUACAAAAUCAGCAUUCAAAAAUUGAUACCUUUUCAGGCUGGGGUUGUGCCUCAGUGGUAGUGCACUUGCAUAGCCCAUUCAAGAACCAGGGUUCAAUCUCAGCAUCACAUAAAAAUAAACAGAUAAAAUAAAGGUAUUGUGUCCAACCACAACUAAAAAAAAUAAAUAUAUUUUUUUUUAAAAAAAUCAAUACCUUUUCAAUAUUCCAAUAAUGAAUCUGCUGAGACUAAAAUCAGGAAAACUAUUCAGUUCACAAUAACCUAAAACAAGGCAAUGAUUAUUAUUUAUCCUGAAUCUUAUCUUUCUAACUGGGGUGAGAUAAAACCUCACUUUUAUUUCAUUUCCUUUAUUGUUAAGAAUGUUGAACAAUUUUUUCAUAUAUUUCUUGGCCAUUUUCAUGUCAUCUUCUGUGAAGUAUCUGUUUAGAUCACUUGCCCAUUGACUGACUGGGUUAUUUGAGUUAUUUUGAUUUUACAUAUUCUGGAUAUGAAUUCUCUGUCAGAAGAAUAAGUGGCAAGAGUUUCUCCCAUUCUUCAGGCUCUCUUUUCAACAUCUUGUUUCCUUUGCUGUUUGAAGUUUUUAAAUUUGAAGCUGCCCCAAUUGAGUCUUGGUUUCAUUUCUUGAGCUUUGGGAGUUUUAUUAAACACUGUUUGUGGGCUGGGGAUGUGGCUCAAAUGGUAGCGAGGUCGCCUGGCAUGUGUUGGGCCCGGGUUUGAUCCUCAGCACCACAUACAAACAAAGAUGUUGUGUCUGCCAAAAACCAAAAAAUAAAUAUUAAAAUUCUCUCUCUCUCUCUCUCUCUCUCUCUCUCUCUCUUUAAAAAAAAAAAACACUGUUUGUGCCUGUGUAUUGGAGAGUUGGCCCUAUGUUUUCUUCUAGCAAUUGUAAACAUUCGUGUCUAAUUACUAGGCCUCUGAUCCAUUUUAGUUGAUGUUUAUGCAGGUGAGACAGAGGGAGCUCCUUUCAUUCUUCUACAUAUGGAUAUCUUGUUUUCCUAGUGUUUUCCCAUUUGUUAAAAAGUCUAUUUAGUCAGGUUUUCUUUUACCUUAUAUCAAUGUUUUAUUUUUAUUUUUUACAAUGAUCUUGACAUUUCAUACAUUUGAAUCAAAUGGGGUAUAAUUUCUCAUUUUUCUGAUUGUACAGGUUGCAGAAUCCCAUUGGUCAUACAGUCACGUAUAUACAUACAGCAAUAAUAAUGUCUAUUUUAUUCUGCUGCCCUUCCUUUAGUCAGCUUUUUCACUUCUUUGACUAAAAGACCCAACCAGUACAAUUGUAGAGGAGAAAAGAUUUAUGCAGGGGCUCAAGAUCUCAAAGGUAUCUAUUUAUAAACAGUAGGCUCCAUUCAUUGAAGCUCAAGGUGUGGCUGAACAUCAUGGUGGAAGAGUGUGGCAGAAGGAAGCAGCCUGCAUGGUGAUCAGGAAGAAGAGACAGACUCCACUCUCCAGAUACACAAUAUAUACCCAAGGCCAUGCCUUCAGGGACCCACUCCCUCAACCCACAACCCACCAGCCUUCAAUUACCAGGCGUUUAAUCCUCAUCAGGGGAAUAAUGCAAAAAUUGAAUUAAGGCUCUUACAAUCCAAUUGUUUCUCCUCUUGCAUUUUCUCACACAUGAGCUUUUGGAAGACAUAUCACAUCCAAAUCAUAACAUCCAUUUUUUUCUUCAAUGUAUGUUUUUACUGAUUUUGUCAAGCAUCAGAUGACUAUAUCUGUCUGGGUUUAUCUCUGUGACUUUUAGUCCAUUGACUUUCAUGUUGGUUUUCAUAAAAAUGCCAUUUUAUUUUUGUUAGUGGAGCUCUGCAGCAUGAUUUGAGCAUGGGAAUUUUGUUGCCCCAGCCUUGUUCCUCUUUCUCGGUAUUCCUUUGGUUACUCUGGAUCUUUUAUUCUUCCAUAUGAAUUUUAGGACAUUUUUUUAAGUUCUGUGAAGAAAGUCAUUGAUAUUUUGAUUGGGACUGAUUGAAACUAUAGAUUGCUUUUGAUUGUAUAAUUAUUUUAUCAAUAUUAAAUCUGCUUAUUGAAGAACAACAGAUGCCUUUCCAUCUUCUAUAGUCUUCUUUAAAUUCGUUCUUCAGUGUUCUAUAGUUUUAUUUUAUUAGAGAUCUUUCAACUUCUUAGCUAGGUUUAUUUUCAUUUUUUGUUGUUGUUGUUGUUGUUGUUGUUAUUGUUCGUUUCUUUGUUUCAGGUUGUUUUCAAUGGAAUAUUUUCCUUCAUUUUUUUGGUUGGUUUUAUUAUUGGCAUAUAGUAAAACUUUUAAUUUUUGUAUGUUGAUCCUGUAUCCUUCUACUUUUCUGUAUUUAUUAAUCCACACUAAAACUCUUCUGAAAGAGAUUCUAUGUAUAGAAUCAUUUAUCUGCAAAUAGAGAUAAUUUGAAUUUUUUCUCAUUAUAUCCAUUCAAUUUUCUCCUCCUCUCUAAUUGAUAUACCUAUAUAUUACAAGAAUUAUAUUGAAUAGGAAUAGUAAGGUUAUGAAUCCUUACCCUACUCUAGAUUUUAGAGGAAAUGCUUUUAUUUUCUCACCAUUCAUUUUGAUGUGAUGUUGGGUUUGUCAUGUAUAGCCUUUAUAAGAGUGAGAUAAUUUUCUUCUAUCCCUAGUGUCUUCAGAGAUUUUUAACAUGAAUGGAUGCUAAAGUUUGUUGAUGAAUUGUUUUCUGCAUCUAUUGAGUUGAUUAUAUAACUUAUGUUCUGAAUUCUAUUUAUGUGAUAUAUUGCAUUUAUUGAUUCACAUGUGCUGACCAACCUUGCAUUGCUGAAAAUUUAUUUUUAAUGAAACACAUAACCAAUUAUUUUCAUUAACAUUUCCCACUUUAAUCCAUAAUGUACAAUAUCCAUAAAUAGAGAUAUUGAAAUUUCCCAUGCUAGAAGGAAUAAUUCUCUUAUUGUUUGAAAUAACAUAUAGUGUCAUAUUUUAGAAGUGGGCUUUCCACUUGUGCAUGGUCAUGUGGUCCCUGGGAAAAGGAAACUAUUGAAUUUAGUUAAGCUGCCCUUCUUUGGCAUCUGGACCCAAGCUGUUGUCAUGAAUACUGUGAAAGAAAGUGUGGUAUUUUAUUGAGGUAUGGAGGAAUUGUGAGAGGUCAUCUUCUGCCUGGAGUGCUUAAGGAAUCAGACCAGCCUGGUGUGCAAGAAAGCACUUGCAUCUCUUUGCCACUCCUCACUAUUUUUAACUCAUUCUCCUUCUAAUUGUUCAAAUCAAGACUUAUGCAUAGGACAUAGUCAAUGUGAUAUAACUCUAUUAACCCUUCCAGAAAAGUACUGGUUCCCCAUAGAUAUUUUCUAGCCACUCUACUAGUCUUUUCAUGUUGCAAGAGGACUCUGGACUGUCAUAUUUGUCACCACUAAAAUCAGGAUUCUCUUACUGUUCCAGGCAUCUCUCCUCAGUCUCUCAAAGAAGCUGACAAUUCUAACAUGGAAGAGACAGCAUCCUUAUUUGUCCUGAGAAAAGAAGACCCUGGAUAUGAUGAUGUUGAGUCUAACACCUUGUAGUGGUGUUUUGUUGUGUUUUGUAUUUUGUGUAACCAAGUCUGCAGAUAACUCCUUAUAAUAUUGUUUCCUGAUAAAAGAGAGUUCUGUCUUCUUCAUUACUAGAAAGUUUCUACAUUCAUUACUGGAAAGUUUCUCAUUUGCAAUAAAUACUCUGAGCCUCAAAUACCAGUGUCAUUCUCUAUUUGAAUGCAUUCACCACCAGCACCCUCUGAAAAUUGAAUGUUCAAAAUUAAUGGAUCUCACAUAGGAUCCCCCACACUACACACUUGAUCUUUUAGAUGAACAGAAGUUUAUUUUCUCUUGAACAGUAUAAAACUGGAAUACAGUCCUGAACUAAGAACUUGGUCUUAUGAAAAUUAACUUAAUAAACACCUAUCUUAAUAUUCAAAAACAUCCCAUUCAUGCUGACUAAAACCUACAUUUAGUGAUUGGGGAGUAUCAGGUGGAUGGGAAAUUGCUAUGUUUCUUUUAAUUCUUCAUGAUUUUUAUAAAAUAUCAAUAACUAGAUUCUACUAUUGCCUAUUAGACUUUUACUCCAAUGGUUUCUUCUCCUUUCUUGUUAUUCCACAACUCUCUAAGUCUCAUGUUUCUCCAUAAAAUUGCACUAUUAUCAUUAAAUACCAUUGUUUUAUAUCACUUUUCCUUACUCUCUACUUCUUUCUCCGGUUGUCUUUGUUUAAACAGCCAAUAAUUAUAACCACCAGAAUUGCAAAAUAUUUCUUAAGUGGCUGUAUUUACUGUGAAUUAUUCCCAUCCCAGACCACCCUCACAUAUUUAUUUGAGUUGGAAAGGACUGAGUAAGCAAGCCAAACUCUGAAAUUCUCUAUGCUGGAGACUUAUUGUCAUCUAUAGCAAAUUUUCCAAAAUUCGCUUAUUUGCUUGCAAAUAAAUGAAUGUUUCCAC